rnacentral:rRNA from 1 species
CCUACGGGCGGCAGCAGUGAGGAAUAUUGGUCAAUGGACGGAAGUCUGAACCAGCCAUGCCGCGUGCAGGAAGACGGCUCUAUGAGUUGUAAACUGCUUUUGUACAAGGGUAAACCUGAAUACGUGUAUUCAGCUGAAAGUACUGUACGAAUAAGGAUCGGCUAACUCCGUGCCAGCAGCCGCGGUAAUACGGAGGAUCCAAGCGUUAUCCGGAUUUAUUGGGUUUAAAGGGUGCGUAGGCGGAUUGAUAAGUUAGAGGUGAAAUGUCCGAGCUUUACUCGGGAACUGCCUCUAAUACUGUUGAUCUAGAGAGUAGUUGCGGUAGGCGGAAUGUAUGGUGUAGCGGGGAAAUGCUUAGAGAUCAUACAGAACACCGAUUGCGAAGGCAGCUUACCAAGCUACUUCUGACGUUGAGGCACGAAAGCGUGGGGAGCAAACAGGAUUAGAUACCCCAGUAGUC